rnacentral:rRNA from 1 species
GACGAACGCUGGCGGCGUGCUUAACACAUGCAAGUCGAACGGAAAGGCCCCCACUUUUUUGGUGGGGGUGCUCGAGUGGCGAACGGGUGAGUAACACGUGGGUGAUCUGCCCUGUACUUCGGGAUAAGCUUGGGAAACUGGGUCUAAUACCGGAUAGGACCAUGGUUUAGUGUCUCAUGGUGGAAAAAUUAUUGUUUUGGUGCAGGAUGAGCUCGCGGCCUAUCAGCUUGUUGGUGGGGUAAUGGCCUACCAAGGCGUCGACGGGUAGCCGGCCUGAGAGGGUGGACGGCCACAUUGGGACGGAGAUACGGCCCAGACUCCUACGGGAGGCAGCAGUGGGGAAUAUUGCACAAUGGGCGCAAGCCUGAUGCAGCGACGCCGCGUGGGGGAUGACGGCCUUCGGGUUGUAAACUCCUUUCGUUAGGGACGAAGCCGCACCUUUUUUGGGUGUGGUGACGGUACCUUUGUUAAGAAGCACCGGCUAACUACGUG